GACGAACGCUGGCGGCGUGCUUAACACAUGCAAGUCGAACGAAGUGGCGAACGGGUGAGUAACGCGUAAUCAACCUGCCCUUCAGAGGGGGACAACAGUUGGAAACGACUGCUAAUACCGCAUACUGAAGGAGGGGAUUGCGUCUGAUUAGCUAGUUGGGGGGGUAACGGCCCACCAAGGCGAUGAUCAGUAGCCGGUCUGAGAGGAUGACCGGCCACAUUGGGACUGAGACACGGCCCAGACUCCUACGGGAGGCAGCAGUGGGGAAUCUUGCGCAAUGGACGAAAGUCUGACGGAGCAACGCCGCGUGAGUGAUGACGGCCUUCGGGUUGUAAAGCUCUGUUGUAAGGGAAGCGGUAUCUUACCAGAAAGCCACGGCUAACUACGUGCCAGCAGCCGCGGUAAUAC
rnacentral:rRNA from 1 species